rnacentral:rRNA from 1 species
ACGCUAGCUACAGGCUUAACACAUGCAAGUCGAGGGGCAGCAUGGUCUUAGCUUGCUAAGGCCGAUGGCGACCGGCGCACGGGUGAGUAACACGUAUCCAACCUGCCGUCUACUCUUGGACAGCCUUCUGAAAGGAAGAUUAAUACAAGAUGGCAUCAUGAGUCCGCAUGUUCACAUGAUUAAAGGUAUUCCGGUAGACGAUGGGGAUGCGUUCCAUUAGAUAGUAGGCGGGGUAACGGCCCACCUAGUCUUCGAUGGAUAGGGGUUCUGAGAGGAAGGUCCCCCACAUUGGAACUGAGACACGGUCCAAACUCCUACGGGAGGCAGCAGUGAGGAAUAUUGGUCAAUGGGCGAGAGCCUGAACCAGCCAAGUAGCGUGAAGGAUGACUGCCCUAUGGGUUGUAAACUUCUUUUAUAAAGGAAUAAAGUCGGGUAUGGAUACCCGUUUGCAUGUACUUUAUGAAUAAGGAUCGGCUAACUCCGUGCCAGCAGCCGCGGUAAUACGGAGGAUCCGAGCGUUAUCCGGAUUUAUUGGGUUUAAAGGGAGCGUAGAUGGAUGUUUAAGUCAGUUGUGAAAGUUUGCGGCUCAACCGUAAAAUUGCAGUUGAUACUGGAUAUCUUGAGUGCAGUUGAGGCAGGCGGAAUUCGUGGUGUAGCGGUGAAAUGCUUAGAUAUCACGAAGAACUCCGAUUGCGAAGGCAGCCUGCUAAGCUGCAACUGACAUUGAGGCUCGAAAGUGUGGGUAUCAAACAGGAUUAGAUACCCUGGUAGUCCACACGGUAAACGAUGAAUACUCGCUGUUUGCGAUAUACUGCAAGCGGCCAAGCGAAAGCGUUAAGUAUUCCACCUGGGGAGUACGCCGGCAACGGUGAAACUCAAAGGAAUUGACGGGGGCCCGCACAAGCGGAGGGACAUGUGGUUUAAUUCGAUGAUACGCGAGGAACCUUACCCGGGCUUAAAUUGCAGAUGAAUUACGGUGAAAGCCGUAAGCCGCAAGGCAUCUGUGAAGGUGCUGCAUGGUUGUCGUCAGCUCGUGCCGUGAGGUGUCGGCUUAAGUGCCAUAACGAGCGCAACCCUUGUUGUCAGUUACUAACAGGUUCCGCUGAGGACUCUGACAAGACUGCCAUCGUAAGAUGUGAGGAAGGUGGGGAUGACGUCAAAUCAGCACGGCCCUUACGUCCGGGGCUACACACGUGUUACAAUGGGGGGUACAGAGGGCCGCUACCACGCGAGUGGAUGCCAAUCCCCAAAACCUCCCUCAGUUCGGACUGGAGUCUGCAACCCGACUCCACGAAGCUGGAUUCGCUAGUAAUCGCGCAUCAGCCACGGCGCGGUGAAUACGUUCCCGGGCCUUGUACACACCGCCCGUCAAGCCAUGGGAGCCGGGGGUACCUGAAGUGCGUAACCGCGAGGAGCGCCCUGGGGUAAAACUGGUGACUGGGGC